CUGACCUCGGUUCAGACGUGAUUACCCGCUGAACUUAAGCAUAUCACUAAGCGGAGGAAAAGAAACUAACCAGGAUUCCCUCAGGUAACA
rnacentral:rRNA from 1 species